rnacentral:rRNA from 1 species
UACGUAGGGGGCAAGCGUUGUCCGGAUUUAUUGGGCGUAAAGAGCGUGUAGGCGGCCAGAUAGGUCCGUUGUGAAAACUCGAGGCUCAACCUCGAGACGCCGAUGGAAACCAUCUGGCUAGAGUCCGGAAGAGGAGAGUGGAAUUCCUGGUGUAGCGGUGAAAUGACGCAGAUAUCAGGAAGAACACCCGUGGCUAAGGCGGCUCUCUAGUACGGUACUGACGCUGAUACGCGAAAGGCGUGGGGAGCAAACAGG